AUUGAACGCUGGCGGAAUGCUUUACACAUGCAAGUCGAACGGCAGCACGGACUUCGGUCUGGUGGCGAGUGGCGAACGGGUGAGUAAUGUAUCGGAACGUGCCCAGUCGUGGGGGAUAACGUAGUGAAAAUUACGCUAAUACCGCAUACGAUCUAUGGAUGAAAGCGGGGGAUCGCAAGACCUCGCGCGAUUGGGGCGGCCGAUAUCAGAUUAGGUAGUUGGUGGGUUAAAGGCCCACCAAGCCAACGAUCUGUAGCUGGUCUGAGAGGACGACCAGCCACACUGGAACUGAGACACGGUCCAGACUCCUACGGGAGGCAGCAGUGGGGAAUUUUGGACAAUGGGCGAAAGCCUGAUCCAGCCAUUCCGCGUGCAGGAUGAAGGCCCUCGGGUUGUAAACUGCUUUUGUACAGAACGAAAAGGUUUCUACUAAUACUAGGAGCUCAUGACGGUACUGUAAGAAUAAGCACCGGCUAACUACGUGCCAGCAGCCGCGGUAA
rnacentral:rRNA from 1 species